AUUGAACGCUGGCGGCAGGCCUAACACAUGCAAGUCGAACGAGUGGCGGACGGGUGAGUAAUGUCUGGGAAACUGCCCGAUGGAGGGGGAUAACUACUGGAAACGGUAGCUAAUACCGCAUACCAUCGGAUGUUCCCAGAUGGGAGUAGCUUGUAGGUGAGGUAACGGAUCACCUAGGCGACGAUCCCUAGCUGGUCUGAGAGGAGGACCAGCGACACUGGAACGGAGACACGGUCCAGACUCCUACGGGAGGCAGCAGUGGGGAAUAUUGCACAAGGGGCGCAAGCGUGAUGCAGCCAUGCCACGUGUAUGAAGAAGGCCUUCGGGUUGUAAAGUACUUUCAGCGGGGAGGCGUUACACGCAGAAGAAGCAAAGGCUAACUCCGUGCCAGCAGACGCGGUAAGAC
rnacentral:rRNA from 1 species